GAGUUUGAUCAUGGCUCAGAACGAACGCUGGCGGCGUGGAUAAGACAUGCAAGUCGAACGGAGAUCUUGAAUAGCUUGCUAAUUGAGAUCUUAGUGGCGGACGGGUUAGUAACACGUGAGAACCUACCCUUUAGACAGGAAUAGCCCAUGGAAACGUGGAUUAAUGCCUGAUAGUCUCUACGGAGUAAAUGGUGCCUUCUGGUAUCGCUAGAGGAUGGGCUCGCGGCCUAUCAGCUUGUUGGUGAGGUAAAGGCUCACCAAGGCGACGACGGGUAGCUGGUCUGAGAGGACGAUCAGCAACACUGGAACUGAGACACGGUCCAGACACCUACGGGUGGCAGCAGUCGAGAAUCAUUCACAAUGGAGGCAACUCUGAUGGUGCAACGCCGCGUGGAGGAUGACGGUCCUAGGAUUGUAAACUCCUGUCAUUGGGGAGUAAGACUUAAGCGUUAAGAGCGUUUAAGUUUGAUAGUACCCAAAGAGGAAGGGACGGCUAACUUCGUGCCAGCAGCCGCGGUAAUACGAAGGUCCCAAGCGUUGUUCGGAAUCACUGGGCGUAAAGCGUGUGUAGGCUGCGCGGAAAGUCAAAUGUGGAAGCCCGGGGCUCAACCUCGGAACUGCAUUCGAUACUCCCGUGCUAGAGUAAUGGAGAGGUAAGUGGAAUUCCUGGUGUAGCAGUGAAAUGCGUGGAUAUCAGGAGGAACAUCAAUGGCGAAGGCAACUUACUGGACAUUUACUGACGCUCAGACACGAAGGCUAGGGUAGCGAAAGGGAUUAGAUACCCCUGUAGUCCUAGCAGUAAACGGUGCUCGCUUGGUGUGGGAGGAUUCGACCCCUUCUGUGCCCGGAGCUAACGCGUUAAGCGAGCCGCCUGGGAAGUACGGUCGCAAGACUAAAACUCAAGAAAUUGACGGGGACCCGCACAAGCGGUGGAGUAUGUGGCUUAAUUCGAUGCAACGCGAAGAACCUUUA
rnacentral:rRNA from 1 species